AGAUUGAACGCUGGCGGCAUGCCUUACACAUGCAAGUCGAACGGUAGAGUAGCAAUACUUGAGAGUGGCGAACGGGUGAGUAAUAUAUCGGAACGUGCCCAGUCGUGGGGGGAUAACGUAGAGAAAUUUACGCUAAUACCGCAUACGAUCUACGGAUGAAAGCGAGGGGAUCGCAAGACCUUGCGCGAAUGGAGCGGCCGAUGGCAGAUUAGGUAGUUGGUGAGGUAAAGGCUCACCAAGCCUUCGAUCUGUAGCUGGUCUGAGAGGACGACCAGCCACACUGGGACUGAGACACGGCCCAGACUCCUACAGGAGGCAGCAGUGGGAAUUUUGGACAAUGGGCGAAAGCCUGAUCCAGCCAUGCCGCGUGCAGGACGAAGGCCUUCGGGUUGUAAACGUGUCUUUUGUACGGAACGAAAGUCUACUUUACUAAUAAAGAGGGAAUCAUGACGUACCGUAAGAAUAAGCACCGGCUAACGUACGUGACCAGCAGCCGUA
rnacentral:rRNA from 1 species